rnacentral:rRNA from 1 species
ACGCUCGACACCUACGGGAGGCAGCAGUCGGGAAUAUUGCGCAAUGGAGGAAACUCUGACGCAGUGACGCCGCGUAUAGGAAGAAGGUCUUCGGAUUGUAAACUAUUGUCGUUAGGGAAGAAAAAGGACAGUACCUAAGGAGGAAGCUCCGGCUAACUACGUGCUAGCAGCCGCGGUAAUCUGAGCGGGCUGGCAAGGC